UACGGGGGGGGCAAGCGUUGUUCGGAAUUACUGGGCGUAAAGGGCGCGUAGGCGGCCUGCUAAGUCGGACGUGAAAUCCCUCGGCUCAACCGAGGAACUGCGUCCGAUACUGGUGGGCUUGAAUCCGGGAGAGGGAUGUGGAAUUCCAGGUGUAGCGGUGAAAUGCGUAGAUAUCAGGAAGAACACCCGUGGCGAAGGCGGCUCUCUGGGACGGUACUGACGCUGAGACGCGAAAGCGUGGGGAGCGAACAGG
rnacentral:rRNA from 1 species